GUUUACGUCAGUUUGUUUAGAUCCUGUAGUGAUGGACAAACCAAAAUGCUGCUUCCUGCUUCCAACAGCUGAAUGACGAGUGACCAGAGUUGGAGCAACUGAACCAGAUGAACAACAGGAGUCAAAUAUUCCCCCAGCACAAUAUGUGGCCACCAGAAAGCAGCCUGUGAUGUCAGGUGGAGGCCUGAUGCCCCGAGGCCACCAGACCCCGGCUGAUUAGAGGCCACGACACCAGAGGGGCUGGUCGGGGGCUUUGAACCCACCCCUGUAUGUUCAGACGCUCCCAGACUCACACAGGAGCUGACAAGUUUUACUUCAUGGCCAAAAUGACAAAUGAAACGUUUUAAUAAAGCAAACAGCAUUAACAGCA